rnacentral:rRNA from 1 species
UCAACGAGUCGGGUUGUUUGGGAAUGCAGCCCAAAUCGGGCGGUAGACUCCGUCCAAGGCUAAAUACAGGCGAGAGACCGAUAGCGAACAAGUACCGCGAGGGAAAGAUGAAAAGGACUUUGAAAAGAGAGUCAAAGAGUGCUUGAAAUUGCCGGGAGGGAAGCGGAUGGGGGCCGGCGAUGCGCCCCGGCCGUAUGUGGAACGGCUCUUGCUGGUCCGCCGCUCGGGUCCCUCGGGGCACUGCGCUGCAACGGCCUGCGGGCUCCCCAU